UACGUAGGGGGCAAGCGUUGUCCGGAAUCAUUGGGCGUAAAGAGCGCGUAGGCGGCCCAGUAAGUCCGCUCUGAAAGUCAGGGGCUCAACCCCUGGAUGCGGGUGGAUACUGCUGGGCUAGAGUCCGGAAGAGGAGAGUGGAAUUCCUGGUGUAGCGGUGAAAUGCGCAGAUAUCAGGAAGAACACCCGUGGCUAAGGCGGCUCUCUAGUACGGUACUGACGCUGAGACGCGAAAGCGUGGGGAGCGAACAGG
rnacentral:rRNA from 1 species